rnacentral:rRNA from 1 species
ACGAUACGAGUUUGAUCAUGGCUCAGAACGAACGCUGGCGGCAUGCCUAACACAUGCAAGUCGAACGAAGGCUUCGGCCUUAGUGGCGCACGGGUGCGUAACGCGUGGGAAUCUGCCCUUGGGUUCGGAAUAACUCAGAGAAAUUUGAGCUAAUACCGGAUGAUGACGUAAGUCCAAAGAUUUAUCGCCCAAGGAUGAGCCCGCGUAAGAUUAGCUAGUUGGUGGGGUAAAGGCCUACCAAGGCGACGAUCUUUAGCUGGUCUGAGAGGAUGAUCAGCCACACUGGGACUGAGACACGGCCCAGACUCCUACGGGAGGCAGCAGUGGGGAAUAUUGGACAAUGGGCGAAAGCCUGAUCCAGCAAUGCCGCGUGAGUGAUGAAGGUCUUAGGGUUGUAAAGCUCUUUUACCAGGGAUGAUAAUGACAGUACCUGGAGAAUAAGCUCCGGCUAACUCCGUG